rnacentral:lncRNA from 14 species
GAUACACAGAUUUUAUGUCUUUAUGGUGGAGUAGAACUGCAACACAAUAUCCAAAGGUUUCUAAGUCAACGUCCAGUGGUUACCCAUGAUGAGAUGCCUAUCCAUCUUGGCAGGUAAUUGUUCAGUCUGAAGGAGCUUUAAAUUACUUCACAGCUUGAAAUCACAGCUUUACCUCAUACUCCUCUGUGAAGUCAAAGACACGUGGCAUUGGAAGUUACGUUUUUGAGAUCAUCUACUCAGAACAUGUGCCUCAAGAAAUCUGUUUUCACUGUUUCACACAACUUGGGAUUUGAAGUUCCCUGCACAAGUGUAUGAAGAGAAUUGGUUUAGACUAGUUCAGUGAAAAGGAGCUGUUUAUCAGUAGACUCAGAUGCAUGGAGAUCUGAGAAUGCAAUAACUGAAGCAAACCAAAUUUCCCAUGAUCUACUCACCUUGGAGGACAGAACUACUCUGGAUAAUAGAAGCAAAUUAAUGGUACGUGAGCUCAGUUUUUGAUGUGCGUUCUAACAGUACCAAUUCACUUGAUGUGAGUCCCUAAAGAAACACAGGUGUCCUGGUUUCAGCUGUGGUA